GUUAAGCACUGGAAUAGGAUUCCAUUGGAGGUUGUGGAAUACCUGUCAUUGGAGGUUUUUAAGAAUAGGUUAGGCCAACACCUGUCAGAGAUUGUCUAGAAGAUAAUACUUAGUCUGCCUCAGUGGAGGGGACUGAACUAGACAACUU